rnacentral:lncRNA from 13 species
AUGGCCGCUGGGCGCCGGCAGAGCUCGCUCCGGGCCGCGCGGGUGCGCAUGCGCGGCGCCCCGGGAUUGAUCGGCUGCGCUCGGGUCUCCAGGCACCCGGCCGGCCCCGCCCCCCCCGGCGUUGCCGGGCAACCGCGGCCCGGCGCUCUCCCAUUGGCCGGCGGCGGCCCCGGCCCCGCCCGCACGUGGUCACUUGGUCAGUGCGGCCGGGGCUUGGCCGGGGGCCUGGCUCCCUGCGCGGGUCGAUGCCGCCUCGCAUCUGACCUUUCCCGGCGCGGGGAGGGGGCCCAGGAGGAUGGACAGAGCUGGACCAUCUUGGAAAGAAACUUUAUUGACCCGUCUCUUAUCUUGGGGACGCACGGUUCCCGCGGCGGGGGCGAGUGUCCGGCCGGGUGGGGGUGGGGGUGGGGGUGGGGGCGGCCGGGACCCCCCCUCCUGGACAUGCAUCGGGUCCCCUGCCCACCGCCCUGGCCAUCUCCCCGGGCGGGCUGCCCUCCAUUCCCUAGACAGGAAAACCGAGGCCCUCAAGGGCUCAGGGGUUAUCCAAGGCGCACAGGGUUUAUGGGGUGCGAGGGGCCUGGAGCCCAGAAAAUGAGGCUGGGGGGCUCCAGGUUCCUUCUGCCACGCGGUGCUGACAUCUGCACGCUCCAAGCAAAGCUAAAACGUCUUCCCGCGUGGCUGGGCCCCACACCCUCGCAGCCUGGAACCCACCACCCCAUAAGGAGGGAAGACCCUUCCUUCCUUUUAAAUGCGACGUUGAACAGCCAGGAAAAAGAAGGAAACCCAAUCCUUUGCAGCAACAGGGGUCCAGCUGGAGGCCCUUACCCCCAGCGAAUGAACGCAGGCACAGAAAACCAAGCCCCCAUGUUCUCGCGUCCACCUCUUCGGGAGCAUCGGCUGGGCUGUGCACUGGAGGCCCUCGGGGGUGCAGCGUGGAAGCCCCCUGGACAGAUGGAGAAGCUGAGGCCCCCGUCCUCCCCGGCCCUGAUGGGCGGCAGCUGUGCCCAGGCACGCUGUCCCCGGUGGACAUGGCCGGACGCAUGGAUUUCCGAAGCCGUCUCCCCAUCUGGCAGCUUUUAUUAACCCAAUUCCAGGGAUCGAGUGAUUGAGUGAGUGACGUGUUUGCUUAUCGGCUCCUCCUGCCUCUCCAGGGAUGGGUGCUGGGGCGGCCCCACCCCACCUCCACCGGCCCAGGGGAAGAAGAGACACCAGAUCCCCACCACAGCCCUAAGACCAACAUACCCUCACACACACCCAGUGACUCGCACUGACGGGCUCUUGGUGGUUGGGUCAAUUCAAGUAGAUCUUUCUGGAACAUAAUGGGCCAAUGUCUAACAAAUUUUAAAAUGCAAACUCAGGCCAGGCCUGGUGGCUCACGCCUGUAAUCCCAGUGCUUUGGGAGGCCAAGGCAGGCAGAUCACCUGAGGUCAGGAGUUCGAGACCAGCCUGGCCAACAUGGUGAAACCCCGACUCUACUAAAAAUACAAAAAUUAAAAAAAGAAAAAUACAAAAAUUAGCUAGAUGUGGCAGCGCACACCUGUAAUCCCAGCUCCUCGGGAGGCUGAGGCACGAGAAUUGCUUGAACCCGGGGUUGCAGUGAGCUGAGAUCGCGCCAUUGCACUCCAGCCUGGGAAACAAGAGCAAAACUCCGUCUCAAAAAACAAACGAAAAAACAGCCAGGUAGGGUGGUGAGCACCUGUGGUCCCAGAUACUUGGGAGACCUAGGUGGGUGGACCAGGAGGUCAGGAGCUCGAGACCAGCCUGGCCAACAGAGUGAAACCCCAUCUCUACUAAAAAUACAAAACUUAGCCAGGGGUGGUGGGGGGGCGCCUGUAAUCCCAGCUACUCGGGAGGCUGAGGCAGGAGAAUCGCUUGAACCCGGGAGGCCGAGGUUGCAGUGAGGCAGGAUCUUGCCACUGCACUCCAGCCUGGGUGACAGCAAGAUUUGUCUCAAUUUAAAAAAAUAAAUAAAAAUUAAAAUAACCCUUCUAGAUCUAU